UAGGGAAUCUUCCGCAAUGGACGCAAGUCUGACGGAGCAACGCCGCGUGAGUGAAGAAGGUUUUCGGAUCGUAAAGCUCUGUUGUUAAGGAAGAACGAGUGUGAGAAUGGAAAGUUCAUGCUGUGACGGUACUUAACCAGAAAGGGACGGCUAACUACGUGCCAGCAGCCGCGGUAAUACGUAGGUCCCGAGCGUUGUCCGGAUUUAUUGGGCGUAAAGCGAGCGCAGGCGGUCAAUUAAGUCUGAUGUGAAAGCCCCCGGCUCAACCGGGGAGGGUCAUUGGAAACUGGUUGACUUGAGUGCAGAAGAGGAGAGUGGAAUUCCAUGUGUAGCGGUGAAAUGCGUAGAUAUAUGGAGGAACACCAGUGGCGAAGGCGACUCUCUGGUCUGUAACUGACGCUGAGGUUCGAAAGCGUGGGUAGCAAACAGG
rnacentral:rRNA from 1 species